CCCUUUUCUUCUAAUAGAAAUCUAAAAAUGAAUGAACUAGGGAAUUUUGCUAUUUGUCAGGCAUAAAUUAUCAUACUUCAAAAGUGAAUAGCUGUUUGAAAGUUAGACAUUAAAUAAUUUCUAUUUCUAAAAUUAAAUUUUAAAAAACAGCAUUAGCGAAUGAUUGGAGAAGGAGCCAUUGCCUAAAUGUAAACAGGAUGACAAGAAUCUGGCCAUUUGGAGAAGACAUUCAUCACUCUGGGCAUAUAUUUACACACACACACACACACACAGAGAGAGAGAGAGAGAGAGAGACCUUGUGUUUUUCCUUGUGAGAAAACACUAGCUGUUCACUAGCUAUUUAAAACUUACAUUUUUUUCUGGAUUUGUUUUAAAAGAUUAUUUUUAAAGGGGUUGAAUACAUGUACUUCCUCAAUUUGAUCUUGAAUUCAGGUCUCAGUGAUGUGAGAAUAUAGGAUUUGGGGUAUCCACCCCCAUUGCACCUUUGGAAAAUUACUUUAAAACAUUUGGAAGGUUUGCAUUGAAGGGAGGAUUGGCGGGUGGGAGCAGUUUUAUUAUGCACACUCUUUUAUGGGUUGUGGCCAGAUAUUUUCAAUGUGCUAUUAUCCUAGGUUUUAUGGAGUUCUUAGACCCUGUGGAUAUAAACAUCUGGGAAUAAAUGGUUGAAUGUGAGCAAAGCUACAUGCUAUUCUGCCAGGGAAGAAAUACAUUUGUGCAGCAUUUAAAAUGUAAUGAAUUAUCCGCAAG
rnacentral:lncRNA from 10 species